rnacentral:rRNA from 1 species
AGAGUUUGAUCCUGGCUCAGAACGAACGCUGGCGGCAGGCCUAACACAUGCAAGUCGAACGCGACUUCGGUCGAGUGGCGCACGGGUGAGUAACGCGUGGGAACCUGCCCUGUGGUACGGAAUAACAUCGGGAAACUGAUGCUAAUACCGUAUAUCUCCUGAGGGAGAAAGAUUUAUCGCCAUAGGACGGGCCCGCGUAGGAUUAGCUAGUUGGUGAGGUAACGGCUCACCAAGGCGACGAUCCUUAGCUGGUCUGAGAGGAUGAUCAGCCACACUGGGACUGAGACACGGCCCAGACUCCUACGGGAGGCAGCAGUGGGGAAUAUUGGACAAUGGGGGAAACCCUGAUCCAGCCAUGCCGCGUGAGUGAUGAAGGCCUUCGGGUUGUAAAGCUCUUUCGCACGCGACGAUGAUGACGGUAGCGUGAGAAGAAGCCCCGGCUAACUUCGUGCCAGCAGCCGCGGUAAUACGAAGGGGGCAAGCGUUGUUCGGAAUUACUGGGCGUAAAGGGCGCGUAGGCGGUGCGUUAAGUUAGGCGUGAAGGCCCUGGGCUCAACCCGGGAACUGCGCUUGAUACUGGCGCGCUUGAAUCCAGGAGAGGU